rnacentral:lncRNA from 1 species
GGGUUACGGUUUUUAUGCUCAUGCUUAGUAUGAGACAAUGAUUUUGCUAACUCACCCCCGCUCUUCUUGUUCCACUUUUGGAUUUCGUUUUCAGUGUCUCCUCGGUCACCACACUCUAGCCAAUACGAAGAGAACACGAGGAUACCUAUGUUGUAAACACUAGACAGUGACGUUUUGUUUAAUAAUGAUGUUAAGAUUGUCUUAAAUGAUUUGGC